rfam:Schistosoma mansoni, Puerto Rico, WGS project CABG01000000 data, contig: 0094
ACACUGCUGAGGAGUCUCAUAAUAGGACGAAACGGCCGUCCAGUGC